rnacentral:rRNA from 1 species
GACAGAGGAGCCAAGCGUUGUCCGGAUUGACUGGGCGUAAAGCGCACGCAGGCGGUCGUGCACGUGGGGUGUGAAAACUGGCGGCUUAACUGCCAGAGGCCACCUCAUACGGCGCGACUCGAGCCCUGCAGAGGUCCAUGGAAUUGCCGGUGUGGUGGUGAAAUGCGUAGAGAUCGGCAGGAACACCCAGGGGGAAACCAGUGGACUGGGCAGGAGCUGACGCUCAGGUGCGAAAGCGUGGGGAGCGAACCGG